rnacentral:piRNA from 1 species
UGGUGUUUUGGUUGUUGAAUGAAAAA